CGAAGAUGAAGAUGAUUACAGCUCCGAUACUCGGCCUCCUCGCCAUCAUCGGGGUGCUGACUCCUUCUAUCUUGGCGAUUCCCUAUCGCAAUUCUCUUAAGUCCGGGGAAAGUCUGAAAGCCUUCGAAGCUCUGAGCUACAAGAAUUUCCUUUUCAUAAUGCAGCCAAACUGCAACCUCGUCCUCUACCACGAUUCCACCGCAGUGUGGUCGACCAAGACCGGCGGCCAAGGCUACGGUUGUUACGCCACAUUGCACGACGGCGGCAACCUGGUCGUCUACAGCCCUAAGGCCGUACCCCUGUGGCAGAGCGGCAACGGAACCACAGGAGGGGAAUAUGUCAUCCUCCUUCAGAAGAACGGAGAUGCCGUCAUCUUCGGGACUGCUAAAUGGUGGGUGGUAUGGCCUACAUUGAACCUAGUCGCCUCUAACACCACAGCGCCGCCAUUAGAAGGUAAUGAAGAAGCAACCCUAUUAUCAGCAAUGUCUCAAACUAAUAAUGUGCCGUACACCUUGGAAAGCCCAGAAACUAGUGAAUCCCUCCCUUGGGAACAUAAUGUUCUGUACACUGGGGAAACCCUAAAAACUGGUGAAUCCCUCACUUGGGAGACGUUCAGAUGCACGAUGCAAACUGACUGCAACUUUGCUUGCUGGAAUGGUACUGUACUUAUCUGGUCUACCGGUACCUCCGGCAAAGGCAGUGGAUGCUACCUAAAGUUUCAGAGGGAUGCAAAGUUCGACAUCUACAACAGUGCCAAUGGUCUUGUGUGGCGGCUCCCAUUUCGCUGGCCGGAAGCAAGUUACAUCUUGAUCGUACAGAAAAAACCAAUCAUCGGCAUAUAUGGCCCUCAGAGCUGGUCGACCAACUGGGACGGCCUUACCCAUCACUCCACUGCACAACCCAAUAACCAGAAAAUCAGCAUGGUUACCGGCAAGUGAUGGAUCUGGCUGCCGGACUACUUUCAGUUUGAGAAUAAUGUGCACUGUUUGUUGUUUGCUUUCAGUUUGGAAUAAUCUUCACUGUUGUUCGAAUUUAGUUCCGCUAGUACCAUGGUGUUGUAGCAGUAAUAUCCCCGUGUAAUCGCUGGUUUAUUUUAAUUAAGAUCCGUUGUAGCAGUAAUAUCCCCGU
rnacentral:misc_RNA from 1 species